UACAGCAUCUGCACCUGAUUCUAUCGCUGCCUCAGCUGCUGACUGCACCUCUGCAGCCACCAAUGUCUCACUGCCAAGGCUGCAGCCUGGGGGAGCCUUCACAUCUAGCUGCCACCACCUCAGCCACCUCCACACCUCCAGGGACUCUCUGAAUUUGGAGUUUAUGGAUUCAUGGAGACAGACUGCCCAGCAUGCUCUGAGGAUCCACUUGUGUGCACCUGCCAGUGCUAGUUUUACAGCAUUAGGUGAUGGAGCCCUUCUCCACCUGAAAAGGCAGAGGACAUGUCAGAGGAAAUAUCAUGGAGGGAUCUCAGUGAUGCCAAUGUACAAUCAGCAUCUACGUCACUAGGUUCAAUGUGGGUUAUCUCAAGUGUGGUUAAAAAAAAAAAAAAUGUGUUCCCUGAGCCACUUGGAGGAGAACAACUUUGAAACACCUGGAACAAAGAGAUUUUAUGAGGGCCUUGCCCAAAAAGACAUGCUUUAUAAAAGAAAAAGUAAGUAUAUUAUUGGCCAAAUAGAAAACCAUAGAAAGAGCCGUUCCACAAAGAGGCCUGCACAUCAUAUAACACUCCCUCGAUUUCCAUUGAAGAGGAGAUGGAGUCAGCUGGCUCUGCCCACUUUUUUCACAACACCACAACAAAGGCCAGGCAAUAAAGGCCAGAAGAGUGAUUAUUUGAACACAUUUAGAAUGUCUGAGGAGACAGAAAAUGCUGCCUCAUUUAGGAAAACACAUGAGGCUGAGAUAGAGACCAUCACUUGUAGUUCUACAACACUGGAUGUAUUCUGCGUGCUAGAAGACAGCAAGUGUAAAAUGAGCCCUGAACCUCAUGAUGAUGCCAGCAGUAUAGAGAACAAAGCAAGUGAAUAUUUGAGUGACCUUAUUAUUCAGAUGACAGGGGAUCUUAGGUAUUUUGUGUCCCACCCUCAGCAUGGGAACAACCAAUUCGAAAAUGUUAGUGGCAUGAUGACCAUCGACUUCCCAUCUCCAUAUACAAAGGAAGAGCUUCAGGAGGUACACAUAGCCACCAGCAACCACAGCAGAAGGAGCUGA
rnacentral:lncRNA from 1 species